GGACGCCUAGUGGGAAGGGGGCGUGUGGAGGGGGCUGUGGUCCUGCGCGGUGGUUGAAUGGAGGAACUCUAUAGAUUUGGGGAAUUAUUGGAUCCCUGCACCUGCCAGCCACCAAAAAAAAAAAAAAGAAUUUUUCUGGUGGGGCCGGCCCGUGGCUCACUUUGGAGAGUGUGGUGCUGACAACACCAAGUCAAGGGUUAAGAUCCCCUU